rnacentral:rRNA from 1 species
AUACGGAGGGUGCAAGCGUUGUCCGGAUUUAUUGGGUUUAAAGGGUGCGUAGGUGGUUUUUUAAGUCAGUGGUGAAAACCUACAGCUUAACUGUAGAGGUGCCAUUGAUACUGGGGAACUUGAGUAUGGACGAGGUAGGCGGAAUUUGUGGUGUAGCGGUGAAAUGCAUAGAUACCACAAGGAACACCGAUAGCGAAGGCAGCUUACUGGGCCAUAACUGACACUGAGGCACGAAAGCGUGGGGAGCGAACAGGAUUAGAAACCCUAGUAGUCC